GCCGUCGUGGCCUAGUUGGUUAGGGCGCCAGACUCAUAAUCUGGAGGUCGCGGGUUCGGGUCCCGUCGACGGCA
rnacentral:tRNA from 1 species